UCCAAGCGUUAUCCGGCUUUAUUGGGUUUAAAGGGUGCGUAGGUGGCCUGGUAAGUCAGGGGUGAAAGACGGUAGCUUAACUAUCGCAGUGCCUUUGAUACUGCCGGGCUUGAAUGAACUAGAGGUAGGCGGAAUGUGACAAGUAGCGGUGAAAUGCAUAGAUAUGUCACAGAACACCGAUUGCGAAGGCAGCUUACUAUGGUUUUAUUGACACUGAGGCACGAAAGCGUGGGGAUCAAACAGG
rnacentral:rRNA from 1 species